UCCCUCAGGGUAGCCUAGUGGACAUGGCAUCUGCCCGGUAAGCGGAACGUUGUGGGUUCGAUCACCGCCCCUGGAC
rnacentral:tRNA from 1 species